CCUACGGGGAGCAGCAGUGAGGAAUAUUGGUCAAUGGACGAGAGUCUGAACCAGCCAAGUAGCGUGAAGGAUGACUGCCCUAUGGGUUGUAAACUUCUUUUAUAAAGGAAUAAAACGAGGCACGUGUGCCUUUUUGCAUGUACUUUAUGAAUAAGGAUCGGCUAACUCCGGGCCAGCAGCCGCGGUAAUACGGAGGAUCCGAGCGUUAUCCGGAUUUAUUGGGUUUAAAGGGAGCGUAGAUGGGUUGUUAAGUCAGUUGUGAAAGUUUGCGGCUCAACCGUAAAAUUGCAAUUGAUACUGGCAGUCGUGAGUACAGUUGAGGUAGGCGGAAUUCGUGGUGUAGCGGUGAAAUGCUUGGAUAUCACGAAGAACCCCGAUUGCGAAGGCAGCUUACUAAACUGUGACUGACAUUGAUGCUCGAAAGUGUGGGUAUCAAACAGGAUUAGAUACCCCAGUAGUC
rnacentral:rRNA from 1 species